rnacentral:rRNA from 1 species
GACGGAGGAGGCAAGCGUUAUCCGGAAUUAUUGGGCGUAAAGCGUCCGUAGGUGGCUUGACAAGUCUGGGGUUAAAGCCCGGAGCCCAACUCCGGAUCGGCCCUGGAAACUGUCAGACUUGAGUAAGGCAGGGGUUGCGGGAAUUCCCGGUGUAGCGGUGAAAUGCGUAGAUAUCGGGAAGAACACCAGCGGCGAAAGCGCGCAACUGGGCCAUUACUGACACUGAGGGACGAAAGCUAGGGGAGCGAAUGGG